rnacentral:rRNA from 1 species
UGAGUACGAGAUGCUACGGCAUCGAAGCAGUGUAUGUCAUACUUCCAAGAAAAGCUCGCAAUGUCAUAAACAAAUAAUGCCUGUACCGUAACCGACACAGGUGGGUAGGUAGAGUAUACUAAGGGGCGCGAGAUAACUCUCUCUAAGGAACUCGGCAAAAUGACUCCGUAACUUCGGGAGAAGGAGUGCCUUAUUUUUAUAAGGUUGCAAUAACAAGAUCCAAGCAACUGUUUACCAAAAACACAGGUCUCCGCUAAGUCGUAAGACGAUGUAUGGGGGCUGACGCCUGCCCAGUGCCAGAAGGUUAAAGAAGUUGGUUAGCAUUAGCGAAGCUGAUAACUGAAGCCCUGGUGAACGGCGGCCGUAACAAUAACGGUCCUAAGGUAGCGAAAUUCCUUGUCGGGUAAGUUCCGACCCGCACGAAAGGCGUAAUGAUUUGGAUACUGUCUCGGAGAGGGGCUCGGUGAAAUAGACUUGUCUGUGAAGAUGCGGACUACCUGCACCUGGACAGAAAGACCCUAUGAAGCUUUACUGUAACUUGAGAAAAUUGGACUUUAUCUGCGCAGUAUAGGUGGGAGGCGUUGAUAAUAUUCUUGCGGGAAUAUUGGAGUCAUCAGUGAGAUACCACUCUUAUAAUGUUAGAUUUCUAACUUUGUAUCAUUAUCUGGUCAAAGAACAGUUUCAGGCGGGCAGUUUGACUGGGGCGGUCGCCUCCCAAACGGUAACGGAGGCGCACAAAGGUUUCCUCUGAACGUGUAGAAAUCGUAUCUAGAGUGUAAAGGCAUAAGGAAGCUUGACUGUGAGACCUACAAGUCGAGCAGGGACGAAAGUCGGUCUUAGUGAUCUGACGGUGCUGAGUGGAAAGGCCGUCACUCAACGGAUAAAAGUUACUCUAAGGAUAACAGGCUGAUCUCCCCCAAGAGUUCACAUCGACGGGGAGGUUUGGCACCUCGAUGUCGGCUCAUCGCAUCCUGGGGCGGUAGUACGUCCCAAGGGUUGGGCUGUUCGCCCAUGAAAGCGGUACGCGAGCUGGGUUCAGAACGUCGUGAGACAGUUCGGUCCAUAUCCGGUGUAGGCGUUAGAAUAUUGAGAGGAGCCUUCUUUAGUACGAGAGGACCGAGAAGGACAUACCUCUGGUGUACCAGUUAUCGUGCCAACGGUAAACGCUGGGUAGCUAUGUAUGGAGAGGAUAACCGCUGAAAGCAUCUAAGUGGGAAGCCCACCUCAAGAUAAGUAUUCUCAC